rnacentral:rRNA from 1 species
UACGAAGGGGGCUAGCGUUGCUCGGAAUCACUGGGCGUAAAGGGUGCGUAGGCGGGUCUUUAAGUCAGGGGUGAAAUCCUGGAGCUCAACUCCAGAACUGCCCUUUGAUACUGAAGAUCUUUGAGUUCGGGAGAGGUGAGUGGAACUGCGAGUGUAGAGGUGAAAUUCGUAGAUAUUCGCAAGAACACCAGUGGCGAAGGCGGCUCACUGGCCCGAUACUGACG